GACGAACGCUGGCGGCGUGCUUAACACAUGCAAGUCGAACGGAAAGGCCCUGCUUUUGUCUGGUGCUCGAGUGGCGAACGGGCGAGUAACACGUGAGUAACCUGCCCUCGCCUUUGGGAGAACUUCAGGAAACUGGGGACAAUACCUGAUACGAGCUCCUUCUGCAUGGCGGCGGUUGGAAAGUUUCGGCGGCUGGGGAUGGACGCGUGGCUUAUCAGCUUGUUGGUGGGGUAGUGGCUUACCAAGGCUUUGACGGGUAGCCGGCCUGAGAGGGUGACCGGCCACAUAGGGACUGAGAUACGGGCAAGAGUCCUACGGGAGGCAGCAGUGGGGGAUAUUGGGCAAUGGGCGGAAGCCUGAUGCAGCAACGCCGCGUGGGGGAGGACGGCCUUCGGGUUGUAAACCGCUUUCGCCUGUGACGAAGCGUGAGUGACGGUAAUGGGUAAAGAAGCACCGGCUAACUACGUG
rnacentral:rRNA from 1 species